rnacentral:rRNA from 1 species
UCUACAGGUGGCAGCAGUGAGGAAUAUUGGUCAAUGGACGCAAGUCUGAACCAGCCAUGCCGCGUGCAGGAAGACGGCUCUAUGAGUUGUAAACUGCUUUUGUACGAGGGUAAAUCCCGAUACGUGUAUCGGGUUGAAAGUAUCGUACGAAUAAGGAUCGGCUAACUCCGUGCCAGCAGCCGCGGUAAUACGGAGGAUUCAAGCGUUAUCCGGAUUUAUUGGGUUUAAAGGGUGCGUAGGCGGUUCGAUAAGUUUGAGGUGAAAUCUCGGGGCUCAACUCCGGCUCUGCCUCUGAUACGGUCGGGCUAGAGUUUAGUUGCGGUAGGCGGAAUGUAUGGGGUAGCGGUGAAAUGCAAAGAGAGCAUACAGAACACCGAUUGCGAAGGCAGCUUACGAAACUACGACUGACGUGGAGGCACGAAGGCGUGGGGAGCAAACAGGAUUAGAUACCCGUGUAGUC